AUUGAACGCUGGCGGCAGGCUUAAAACAUGCAAGUCGAGCGGGGGAAGGUAGCUUGCUACCGGACCUAGCGGCGGACGGGUGAGUAAUGCUUAGGAAUCUGCCUAUUAGUGGGGGACAACAUCUCGAAAGGGAUGCUAAUACCGCAUACGUACUACGGGAGAAAGCAGGGGGUCUUCGGACCUUGCGCUAAUAGAUGAGCCUAAAUCGGAUUAGCGAGUUGGUGGGGUAAAGGCCUACCAAGGAGACGAUAUGUAGCGGGGCUGAGAGGAUGAUUCGCAACAAUGGGACUGGGACACGGCCCAGGCUCCUACGGGAGGCAGCAGUGUGUAAUAUUGGACAAUGGGGAGAACCCUGAUCAAGCCAUGCCGCGUGUGUGAAGAAGUCCUUAUGGUUGUAAAGCACUUUAAGCUAGGAGGAGGCGACUCUAGUUAAUACCUAGGGAUAGUGGACGUUACUCGCAGAAUAAGCACCGGCUAACUCUGUGCCAGCCGCCGCGGUAA
rnacentral:rRNA from 1 species